AUUGAACGCUGGCGGCAGGCUUAACACAUGCAAGUCGAACGAGUGGCGGACGGGUGAGUAAUGUCUGGGAAACUGCCUGAUGGAGGGGGAUAACUACUGGAAACGGUAGCUAAUACCGCAUACCAUCGGAUGUGCCCAGAUGGGAUUAGCUAGUAGGUGGGGUAACGGCUCACCUAGGCGACGAUCCCUAGCUGGUCUGAGAGGAUGACCAGCCACACUGGAACUGAGACACGGUCCAGAUUCCUACGUGAGGAAGCAGUGGGGAAGAUUGCACAAUGGGCGCAAGCCUGAUGCAGCCAUGCCGCGUGUAUGAAGAAGGCCUGCGGGUUGUAAAGCACUUUCAGCGGGGAGGCGUUACUCGCAGAAGAAGCACCGGCUAACUCCGUGCCAGCAGCCGCGGUAAUAC
rnacentral:rRNA from 1 species